UACGUAGGGGGCGAGCGUUGUCCGGAUUUAUUGGGCGUAAAGAGCUCGUAGGCGGUUGGUAAGUCGGAUGUGAAAUCCUCCAGGGCUCAACUGGAGGGGUCAUUCGAGACUGCCAUGACUAGAGUUCGGUAGAGGAGUGUGGAAAUUCCUGGUGGAGCGGUGAAAUGCGCAGAUAUCAGGAGGAACACCGGUGGCGAAGGCGGGUCUCUGGGCCGAUACUGACGCUGGAGACGCGAAAGCGUGGGGAGCGAACAGG
rnacentral:rRNA from 1 species